rnacentral:rRNA from 1 species
UACGUAGGGGGCAAGCGUUGUCCGGAUUUAUUGGGCGUAAAGAGCGUGUAGGCGGCUUUACAGGUCCGCUGUGAAAACUCGAGGCUCAACCUCGAGCUGUCGGUGGAAACCGUAAAGCUAGAGUCCGGAAGAGGAGAGUGGAAUUCCCGGUGUAGCGGUGAAAUGCGCAGAUAUCGGGAAGAACACCCGUGGCGAAGGCGGCUCUCUGGGACGGUACUGACGCUGAGACGCGAAAGCGUGGGGAGUGAACAGG